rnacentral:miRNA from 1 species
UGGGUGUGCUCAGUGACUGGA